CAGGAGUUUGAUAAGAUGAAAGCAAAGGCCCCCGAGAACUUCAGGGUGGAUUACGCGAUAAGCAGAGAACAAGCGAACGAUAAAGGAGAGAAAAUGUAUAUCCAGACUCGGAUGGCGCAAUACGCAGCUGAGUUAUGGGAGUUGUUGAAGAAAGACAA
rnacentral:sRNA from 1 species